GAUGAACGCUGGCGGCGUGCCUAAUACAUGCAAGUCGAGCGAACAGAUAAGGAGCUUGCUCCUUUGACGUUAGCGGCGGACGGGUGAGUAACACGUGGGUAACCUACCUAUAAGACUGGGAUAACUUCGGGAAACCGGAGCUAAUACCGGAUAACAUUUGGAACCGCAUGGUUCUAAAGUGAAAGAUGGUUUUGCUAUCACUUAUAGAUGGACCCGCGCCGUAUUAGCUAGUUGGUAAGGUAACGGCUUACCAAGGCGACGAUACGUAGCCGACCUGAGAGGGUGAUCGGCCACACUGGAACUGAGACACGGUCCAGACUCCUACGGGAGGCAGCAGUAGGGAAUCUUCCGCAAUGGGCGAAAGCCUGACGGAGCAACGCCGCGUGAGUGAUGAAGGGUUUCGGCUCGUAAAACUCUGUUACUAGGGAAGAGCAAACGUGUAAGUAACUGUGCACGUCUUGACGGUACCUAAUCAGAAAGCCACGGCUAACUACGUG
rnacentral:rRNA from 1 species